UACGGGAGGCAGCGGGGGAAGUAUUGCACAAUGGGCGCAAGCCUGAUGCAGCCAUGCCGCGUGUAUGAAGAAGGCCUUCGGGUUGUAAAGUACUUUCAGUCGUGAGGAAGGUGUUAAGGUUAAUAACCUUAGCAAUUGACGUUAGCGACAGAAGAAGCACCGGCUAACUCCGUGCCAGCAGCCGCGGUAAUACGGAGGGUGCGAGCGUUAAUCGGAAUUACUGGGCGUAAAGGGCACGCAGGCGGUUAAUUAAGUUGGAUGUGAAAUCCCCGGGCUUAACCUGGGAAUGGCAUUCAAGACUGGUUAGCUAGAGUCUUGUAGAGGGGGUAGAAUUCCAUGUGUAGCGGUGAAAUGCGUAGAGAUGUGGAGGAAUACCGGUGGCGAAGGCGGCCCCUGGACAAAGACUGACGCUCAUGUGCGAAAGCUGGGGAGCAAACAGGGAUUAGAUACC
rnacentral:rRNA from 1 species